rnacentral:rRNA from 1 species
CCAGACUCCUACGGGAGGCAGCAGUGAGGGAUAUUGGGCAAUGGGGGAAACCCUGACCCAGCGACGCCGCGUGAGGGAAGACGGUCUUCGGAUUGUAAACCUCUGUCUUUGGGGACGAAAAAGGACGGUACCCAAGGAGGAAGCUCCGGCUAACUACGUGCCAGCAGCCGCGGUAAUACGUAGGUGGCAAGCGUUGUCCGGAUUUACUGGGUGUAAAGGGCGUGUAGCCGGGCCGGCAAGUCAGAUGUGAAAUCCCAAGGCUCAACCUUGGAACUGCAUUUGAAACUGUUGGUCUUGAGUAUCGGAGAGGCAGGCGGAAUUCCUAGUGUAGCGGUGAAACGCGUAGAUAUUAGGAGGAACACCAGUGGCGAAGGCGGCCUGCUGGACGACAACUGACGGUGAGGCGCGAAAGCGUGGGGAGCAAACAGGAUUAGAUACCCCUGUACU